rnacentral:rRNA from 1 species
AAACCCGGUGAUCUAGCCAUGGGCAGGUUGAAGGUUGGGUAACACUAACUGGAGGACCGAACCGACUAAUGUUGAAAAAUUAGCGGAUGACUUGUGGCUGGGGGUGAAAGGCCAAUCAAACCGGGAGAUAGCUGGUUCUCCCCGAAAGCUAUUUAGGUAGCGCCUCGUGAACUCAUCUUCGGGGGUAGAGCACUGUUUCGGCUAGGGGGCCAUCCCGGCUUACCAAACCGAUGCAAACUCCGAAUACCGAAGAAUGUUAUCACGGGAGACACACGGCGGGUGCUAACGUCCGUCGUGAAGAGGGAAACAACCCAGACCGCCAGCUAAGGUCCCAAAGUCAUGGUUAAGUGGGAAACGAUGUGGGAAGGCACAGACAGCCAGGAUGUUGGCUUAGAAGCAGCCAUCAUUUAAAGAAAGCGUAAUAGCUCACUGGUCGAGUCGGCCUGCGCGGAAGAUGUAACGGGGCUAAACCAUGCACCGAAGCUGCGGCAGCGACGCUUAGGCGUUGUUGGGUAGGGGAGCGUUCUGUAAGCCGUUGAAGGUGGCCUGUGAGGGUUGCUGGAGGUAUCAGAAGUGCGAAUGCUGACAUAAGUAACGAUAAAGCGGGUGAAAAGCCCGCUCGCCGGAAGACCAAGGGUUCCUGUCCAACGUUAAUCGGGGCAGGGUGAGUCGACCCCUAAGGCGAGGCUGAAAAGCGUAGUCGAUGGGAAACAGGUUAAUAUUCCUGUACUUGGUGUUACUGCGAAGGGGGGACGGAGAAGGCUAGGCUGGCCGGGCGACGGUUGUCCCGGUUUAAGCGUGUAGGGGGUGUGACCUGGUAAAUCCGGUUGCAUAUCAACCCUGAGGCGUGAUGACGAUGCACUACGGUGCAGAAGUAGUUGAUGCCCUGCUUCCAGGAAAAUCCUCUAAGCUCCAGGUAACAUUAAAUCGUACCCCAAACCGACACAGGUGGUCAGGUAGAGAAUACCAAGGCGCUUGAGAGAACUCGGGUGAAGGAACUAGGCAAAAUGGUGCCGUAACUUCGGGAGAAGGCACGCUGGCAUGUAGGUGAAGUCCCUUGCGGAUGGAGCUGAAGCCAGUCGAAGAUACCAGCUGGCUGCAACUGUUUAAUAAAAACACAGCACUGUGCAAACACGAAAGUGGACGUAUACGGUGUGACGCCUGCCCGGUGCUGGAAGGUUAAUUGAUGGGGUCAGCCGCAAGGCGAAGCUCUUGAUCGAAGCCCCAGUAAACGGCGGCCGUAACUAUAACGGUCCUAAGGUAGCGAAAUUCCUUGUCGGGUAAGUUCCGACCUGCACGAAUGGCGUAAUGAUGGCCAGGCUGUCUCCACCCGAGACUCAGUGAAAUUGAACUCGCUGUGAAGAUGCAGUGUACCCGCGGCAAGACGGAAAGACCCCGUGAACCUUUACUAUAGCUUGACACUGAACAUUGAGCCUUGAUGUGUAGGAUAGGUGGGAGGCUUUGAAGCGUGGACGCCAGUCUGCGUGGAGCCAUCCUUGAAAUACCACCCUU